GGGGACCAGCUCUCGGGAAGAAAGGACUGCAGGAUGGAGGAGGGUUUUGACUUGCCCUGGUGUGUGUGUGUAAACUGGGAUCCGGAGUUUGACAGCAGAGGAGAGACUUCUGGUGUGAAGGCAGAGCGAUCCUGAACACUAGGCUGGUUGGUUUGAUCUGGUGGACACCAACACAAAUCCAGUCCCUCAUAAGCUAGAGCGCUUCCAUGUACAGAAUAGUAUGCAGCCUUCUGCAGUUCACCCAUGAAGCCAUGUCAUGAGGAAGAACUAGAAUUCCCAACAAGUGUUGAGUGUAUGCAAGCAGCCUUAAAGGAUUACGACUCCUACUCUACAGCGAUGAGGAAUUAUGAGCACCCCAUCAAAGUCUAAUAAAUAUUGAUAGACUUUAAUGAAGGACACUGGAACUAGGGAGAAUCCAACAGACUCUGUACCCAUUAAGGAAGCCAAAUGACAUUUAAGACAAGCGCGACUCUGAAGAAAUGCUUUUUGAACUCGUUAAUUCUUGAGGAGAGGCAGAGGCUGUAAGCAGAGCUUUAAAUAAGAGUUUGAUAGAUGAAUGUAACAGGCUUAAAGGAAAGACAAAUAGACAAAUGACUCCCCCCUCCACGUGGUCUGACAGCUACUGUUCUGCAUGGGCAUGCAGUCCCUCUGGUGACAAGGAGCUCCUGUUGAAACUGCUGUCACCAUGGGCUGAAUAUAUUGAAGCCUAACCCCCAGCACUUCAGAAUGCAACCACAUGUGAUGACAGCAUGCCUACAGAGGUGAUUAAGGUAAAAUGAGGUCAUUAGGAUGGACCCUAAUCCAGCAUGACGAAUAUCCUGCUAAUAAGGGUAAACUUGGACACAGACACAGAGAAGGAAGAUGGUGCAAAGACAAAGGGAGAAGAUGGCCAUUUUCUUUUCUUUAUUUUUUCUUUUUUAAGGACCACACCUGUGGCAUAUGGAGGUUCCCGGGCUAGGGGUCAAAUCGGAGCUAUAGCAGCCCAUGUAUGCCAUAGCCAUGGCAAUGCCAGAUCUGAGGCACAUCUGCAACCGAUGCUGCAGCUUGUGGCAAGCUGGAUUCUUAACCCACUGAGCGAGGUCAGGGAUUGAACCAGCAUCCUCAGGGAUACUAGUCGGGUUCAUUACCACCAGGCCUCAACAGGAACUCCAAGAUGGCCGUGUUUAAGCCAAGGAGCAAGGCCUGGAGCAGAUCCUCCCACCAUGGCCCUCACAAGGAACCAGCCCAGAGGUCACCUUGAUCUUGGACUUUCAGCCUCCAGAAUUGUGAGAUGAUACAUUUCUGCUGUUCAAGCCCCCCCAUUCUGUGGUACGGUUAUAGUGCCCCAAGCUGACUAAUGUAGUCGUAACACAUAUCUUUAUUUCAUUUACUUAACAAACACCUAUAUAGAGCUUACUAGAGGCCAGGCAUGCUUUAUGCCCUUUAUGAAUAUUGAUUUAAUCCUCACAACAGCUCUAGGAGGUAGGGACUCUGGUCCCCAUUUUACAGAUGGCAUAACCAAAGCAUGUGGAGAUUAAGUACCCUGCCCAAAGUCUCCUACUUGGUUAGUAAAGGAGGUAGGAUAGGAAUCUGGGCAGCCUGACUCAAGUCCGUGUGCUGAAACCCCACUCCACACCAGCUCUUCUUUUGUCUCCUAGGAUUUAAACAGGGGUUCCAAAUACAGGUUAAAAUGUG
rnacentral:lncRNA from 1 species